rnacentral:rRNA from 1 species
UACGUAGGUGGCAAGCGUUUGUCCGGAAUUAUUGGGCGUAAAGCGCGCGCAGGCGGUUUCUUAAGUCUGAUGUGAAAGCCCACGGCUCAACCGUGGAGGGUCAUUGGAAACUGGGGAACUUGAGUGCAGAAGAGAAGAGCGGAAUUCCACGUGUAGCGGUGAAAUGCGUAGAGAUGUGGAGGAACACCAGUGGCGAAGGCGGCUCUUUGGUCUGUAACUGACGCUGAGGCGCGAAAGCGUGGGGAGCAAACAGG